AUUGAACGCUGGCGGCAGGCCUAACACAUGCCAGUCGAGCGGAUGAAGGGAGCUUGCUCCUGGAUUCAGCGGCGGACGGGUGAGUAAUGCCUAGGAAUCUGCCUGGUAGUGGGGGAUAACGUCCGGAAACGGGCGCUAAUACCGCAUACGUCCUGAGGGAGAAAGUGGGGGAUCUUCGGACCUCACGCUAUCAGAUGAGCCUAGGUCGGAUUAGCUAGUUGGUGGGGUAAAGGCCUACCAAGGCGACGAUCCGUAACUGGUCGGAGAGGAUGAUCAGUCACACGGGAGCUGGAACACGGUCCAGGCUCCUAAGGGAGGCAGCAGUGGGGAAUAUUGGACAAUAGGCGAAAGCCUGAUCCAGCCAUGCCGCGUGUGUGAAGAAGGUCUUCGGAUUGUGAAGCACUUUAAGUUGGGAGGAAGGGCAGUAAGUUAAUACCUUGCUGUUUUGACGUUACCAACAGAAUAAGCACCGGCUAACUUCGUG
rnacentral:rRNA from 1 species